rnacentral:rRNA from 2 species
UACGUAGGGCGCAAGCGUUGUCCGGAAUUAUUGGGCGUAAAGAGCUCGUAGGUGGUCUGUUGCGUCCGCUGUGAAAACCUAAGGCUUAACCUUGGGCCUGCAGUGGAUACGGGCAGACUAGAGGUAGGUAGGGGAGAAUGGAAUUCCCGGUGUAGCGGUGAAAUGCGCAGAUAUCGGGAGGAACACCGGUGGCGAAGGCGGUUCUCUGGGCCUUACCUGACACUGAGGAGCGAAAGCGUGGGGAGCGAACAGG